GCUCUCGGAUCUAGGAUGGCUGUCUUGUCGCUUCUGUUGUUGGGUGGUUUGUGGAGCGCUGUGGGAGCGUCCAACAUGGCUGUCGUUACUUGCGGCUCCGUGGUGAAGCUACUCAAUAUACGCCACAAUGUCCGACUGCACUCUCACGACGUGCGCUACGGGUCAGGUACAGAGGGGGACCAACCGGGGUUGGGUGGGCUGCUUGGGCCCGGUGAGCCUAGAAGGGGCGGGGCCUCUGGCUCUGAGGGCGUGGUCUUGGAAAGUUGAAGAGGAGGAGGCGUUGCCAAGGAAACUUAGUCCUAAUAUUAAUUUCUGUUUGAUGAGCUGAUGAGCUAUGUGCCAAACGUGUUACAUAUUUACUUUCCAGUUUUUAACAUUGUAUUGAG
rnacentral:lncRNA from 1 species